UUUUAACCGUAAACACAAUAAGAAUUUUAAAUUGUUCAAACUAACUUGUCCAUGAAUCAUACACAACGGUGUUUGUGAAAAUGACUCAGUCUAAGGAUUCGACUCUGAGUGAAUGAUUCAUUCACGAAGCUCUAUUUAACUGCACGAUGUUGCAUGGGCUGAGGAGACAUGUUGUUGAAGGCUGCAUAAAUGUUACUUGUAUGAAGUUUGAGACCGAAUAGAAGCACGGACCCUGAAUUGCUCGACAAAAUGUGUUUAAAAUGGCUUUGUUUACACUUAUAACUAAUUUAUUGUUAAAUAAAACAAAUUGUACAAAACCUUU